rnacentral:lncRNA from 1 species
UCAGAGGGCUGUAUGCAGACUGUGGAGAGCAGGAGUGCCCUGCCUGACCAUAGUUCUUGGAGAUUCUCCCUGAUGGAGCGUAGCCUGACGGUGACCUCUCAUCAUGCUAACCGGCAGCUCAAUUUCGUUCUGCAAGGAGAACGACGCCAUGUGGUUCGCCCAAUGCGUCCAAGAGGAACUGAAUGUUACACUGGAUGCCAGCCGUGUUGUUGGCCUCAAGCUGGACUUCGUUUGAGCCAAUGGCAGCAUCAGUGA